AUCCGGGCUUGGGACCGGCUAAGCACAAACUACUUAGACGGAGUUAAUCUGCAUAUAUAUAUGUACAUAUAUUCAUAACAGACUGACUCUGCCGCCUAUUGAAUGUAUAUAUAUAUAUUUUUCAAUUUCAUUUCUGAAGAUUUUCCGUCUUUCUUAUAUAUUUUGUUUAUUUCUUUAAUUGUUUAUUUAUUUUCCAAGAUUUAGAGAAUAAUUUCUUCCCUAUUAGCUUGGCUCCCUAUCGAUCUUGGUGCGUCGUUG
rnacentral:misc_RNA from 1 species